UACGAAGGGGACUAGCGUUGUUCGGAAUCACUGGGCGUAAAGCGCACGUAGGCGGAUUUGUAAGUCAGGGGUGAAAUCCCGGGGCUCAACCUCGGAACUGCCUUUGAUACUGCGAAUCUUGAGUCCGAUAGAGGUGGGUGGAAUUCCUAGUGUAGAGGUGAAAUUCGUAGAUAUUAGGAAGAACACCGGUGGCGAAGGCGGCCCACUGGAUCGGUACUGACGCUGAGGUGCGAAAGCGUGGGGAGCGAACAGG
rnacentral:rRNA from 1 species